GCUUAUCUCCCCCUCCUCCUCCUCCUCCUCGCCAGCCCCGGCGCUGCCGCCCCCGAGCUGCCCCUUUAAGGACAAUCGCCCUCGGCUCCUGCCCCUCGCACACUGACCCUCCACACCGGACACUAUUUAAGGAUCAAGGUGCCAUCCCAUAAAGAGGUGGAAAGCAGAAGCGCUCCCUCGGGACGGGGAAAGCCGGGAGAAGUGCAGACGCGAGGGGAAAAGGGGGGAAUAAAUCCCCGAGGGAGCGAUGCCGGCGGAGCCCGCGGGAGCGAAGGGAGAAGAGCCCCAGCAGAGCGCUUUGAAGAGAGGAACGCAGUGUAAAUAGCCCGGUGAUGGAUGUGCUGCCUUUGACUGCGGAGAAAGCACUAUUUUAAUUCAAGUGGCCAGGUCAGAUGGUCACGGAAGAAGGUUGAAAGGGAAACGAGGAGCCCUUCCAGGCGUGCCGGGGGAAGGGGACCCGGCGGCACCGAAACACGCCGGAUCGGAGCUGCUAUUUUCCACCUCGCUCCCGUCGGCACCUCCAGCUCGGCAACCUCGCCCCGCUCCCACACCUUUCGGCACACAAACUCCGCAGCGGGGACCCACGGUGGCUUCUAAAAAGCGAGGAGGAGGGGCUGUAAUUUACGGGUGGGUUGCCUGGCAUUUUCACAACAAAGCCCCGUGGCUCCCAGCAGAAAAGAAGAUUAAAAUGGUUGAGAUGGUCCGGGAGCUGCCGCACACGCACCCCAAGCUCUUCCUCUUCCCGAGGAUUUUCGCAUAAAUUAACUUAUUGUUCGUGCGCAAAGCGGUGGGGAGAUUAAACCGAGAAUUAAUAUCGGAACCCAGGCAAGGUGCCCGUGGCACGGCUCCGCCAGCCGGCCCCGCACAGAUCAGCCCCUAAGAAUGUCACACGCUUUCCCGAGAGAUGUUUUUCUCCCCCCCCUCCUUUCUAAUCUGCCAUUAAUAAGCGGAGGAAGCGCGCGCGCACACAGCGGCCGCGUUGUAAUUAAGGUCUCGCUUUAAAGCCACGUAAAUCCAAGAGCGGCUCUCGCCUUUCAUCCCCGCCGGUGCCAGGGGAGUCGGGAGCCCCCUGCGAGCUGCGGGCGCAAGGGGGCACCUAAGGACAAGCGGCACCCCGGGGCGGCGCAGAGAGAGGGUGCUCGGCGGGGAAAACCAGGAAAAAUCGGGGGAAAAUACAUAUAUACGUGUAUAAUUAUGUCAAAGGCUGGGUGCAGGAUGCUGAGGGUUGGAGCAGAGCCCAGCCGCAUCCCGGCUGGAAGAAGCGGCGCCUCCUGGAUUCGGGGUUCCAGGAGCCCUCGGAGCGCCUCUGAGGCUCAGGUAAAAGGAGAUUGAGGCGAAAUACAUACACACA